AUUGAACGCUGGCGGCAUGCCUAACACAUGCAAGUCGAACGGGGCAGCAAUGCCUAGUGGCGGACGGGUGAGGAAUACGUAGGAAUCUGCCCUUAAGUGGGGGAUAACCAGGGGAAACCCUGACUAAUACCGCAUGAUCUCUUCGGAGCAAAGAGGGGGACCGCAAGGCCUCUCGCUUCUGGAUGAGCCUACGUCUGAUUAGCUAGUUGGUAGGGUAAAGGCCUACCAAGGCGACGAUCAGUAACUGGUCUGAGAGGAUGAUCAGUCACACCGGAACUGAGACACGGUCCGGACUCCGACGGGAGGCAGCAGUGGGGAAUCUUGGACAAUGGGGGAAACCCUGAUCCAGCGAUGCCGCGUGUGUGAAGAAGGCCUUCGGGUUGUAAAGCACUUUAGUUGGGGAAGAAAAGUAAUAAGUAAAUAAUUUAUUGCUCUGACGGUACCCAAAGAAUAAGCACCGGCUAACUCUGUGCCAGCAGCCGCCGUAAAAC
rnacentral:rRNA from 1 species